AUGCUUCAGAUGGAGAGUUGUUUUCCCCUACUCCCUUUCUGGGCCUUUAGAAAAAAACUUCAUAAACUCACUCCCAGGUUCCCCGGGCUGGUGAGCGGGUAUGGGUGGCGGGGAGCACGUGGGUUCUUCAGUGGUGGGCUGAGGGUCUUCCCCACGCCCCCCCCCAACCCUCCCACCUGCGUCCCAGACAAGCUCCGCUCCCACCCCCGCCUUCAGUGGGCCGACCUGGCUCCCCCUCCGCUAGGCUCAGUGGACAAACCCGUAUCCUGGACCCGCCCCUGUUCAGUAUCCGCGGCGCCCUACGCUCGCCAGAUUGUGCCACCGGGCGGGGAGAAAGGGGUGCACUUCUGUACGCAGGGUGCGGAGCCGGCCGUUUUGGAGACCGCAGCUCGGCGGAGCGUUGUGGAGAGCUGUUUGGUUUCCUCCGCACCUCGGUCACGGGGCUACCGCGCUGGAGCCUGCGGCGACCUGAGCGAGUGCUGCGAGCAGCAGCGCGCUGUCUCCCCCUCGGUGGGAGCGGUGGUUGGGCCCGGCUGCGGCAGAGCGUUCGCUCGGAGAUGGCGGAGCCGCCGCGACGCGGCCCGAGGCCCCGAGAGCAGGGAACCCGGGCAGCCCCGGGACGCGGCGGAGCCCGGGGACAGCGGGGACGCCGCCCACUCCGCCGGGUAUGAAGCUAAAAUCCUUAACAGCAUGGGCUCUGGAGCUUGACAGACCUGACUUUGAAUCCGUUCCUCUACUGACUGAGCUGUGUGUUCCUGGCAAGUUACCAAACUUCUCUGAGCCUCAAGUUACUCAUGGGUAAAAUGGGAAUAUUAGUACCGACUUCAUUCCUAUCUCUUAGGGCUGGUGUGAGAAUUAAAUACAGAUGCUCCUCGAUUUCUGAUGGGGUCGCAUCCUGAUAAAUCCCUCAUAAACUGAAGACAUGCUAAAUGAAGAAUGCAUGUAAUACACCUAGCAUAUAAAGCAUGAUAAUUUAGCAACAUAGUACACUGUAGAGUGUCAGUUGAACCUGAUCAUGUGACUGACUGGGAGCCACCACUGCCUCAUAAGAAAUUCUGCCAGACUAGGAAAAGAACAAAAUUCAAAAUUUGAGAGAAUGGGGUGAUAACUCCAGGGUAGAGCACUUGCAUAGCAUGUACGAGGCCCUGAGUUCAAGCCCCAGCACCAAAACACAAAACAAUUUGAAUGCUUAUCAUUUGUGUACCAUUGUAAACUGAACCAUCCCAGGUCAGGAGUCAUCUGUAUAUGUAAAACUCUUGGAAGAAUGUUUGAUAGAUGCUAUACUAAGCUCUCAAUAAAUAUUAAUUAUUAACAUGGGUGAUAUACCCA
rnacentral:lncRNA from 1 species